AUCGAGGAGGUGAAUACCUUUCCAAUGAGUUUCUGACAUAUCUUGGAGAGAAUGGGAUUCUUUCUCAAUGGACUCUUUCUGGAACACCACAGCAUAAUGGUGUAUAUGAAAGGAAGAAUCGGACCUUGUUGGACAUGGUUCGAUCCAUGAUGGGGUUUGCUGGUCUGCCGAUCUUCCUCUGGGGAUAUGCGCUCGAAUCGGCUUGUUACCUUCUAAAUAGAGUUCCGAGUAAGUCUGUAACCAAAAUGCCAUAUGAGAUAUGGAUAGGACGUAAGCCAGUACUCUCGCACCUUUGGGUUUGGGGGUGUCCGGCUUAUGUUAAAUGUUUAAUUACGGACAAGCUAGGACCUAGGUCUAACAAGUGUAAUUUUAUAGGAUACCCAAAAGAGAACAAAGGAUAUUAUUUCUACCUGGCUGAUGAGCAAAAAGUGUUUGUCAGCCUUAAGGCAAUCUUUUUGGAAAAAGAGUUCCUUGAUGAAGGGACUGUUGCCUCUAAGGUCGAACUUCAUGAAGUUCGACAGGUGAAAAAACCGACACAAGUUGCUGAACCUGAAUCGAAUUUGAUUAGAUCAUAUCCGGAGCCCAUUGUUCAAGCACCCAUAAGGCGAUCUGGUAGAGUACCACGUCAACCGGGCAGAUACUAUAGUUUCUUGAUCCGAGAUGACGAUCCUAUCGAACUUGAUGAAAAUGAUGAGGAUCCGAUCACCUACAUGGAUGCAAUGCAGAGACCCGACUCUGAGAAAUGGCUAGAGGUCAUGAAAUCCAAAAUGGACUCCAUGAAGGUCAAUGAUGUGUGGACAUUGGUUGACCCACCUAAAGGAGUAAAACCCAUAGGGUGUCUGAAAGGAAGAAUCAGACCUUGUUGGACAUGGUUCGAUCCAUGAUGGGGUUUGCUGGUCUGUCGAUCUUCCUCUAGGGAUAUGCACUCGAAUCGGCUUGUUACCUUUUAAAUAGAGUUUCGAGUAAGUCUGUAACCAAAAUGCCAUAUGAGAUAUGGAUAGGACGUAAGCCAGUACUCUCGCACUUUUGGGUUUGGAGGUGUCCGGCUUAUGUUAAACGUUUAAUUACGGAUAAGCUAGGACCUAGGUCUGACAAGUAUAAUUUUAUAGGAUACCCAAAAGAGAUCAAAGGGUAUUAUU
rnacentral:lncRNA from 1 species